UACGUAGGGGGCGAGCGUUGUCCGAAGUUACUGGGCGUAAAGCGCGCGUAGGCGGGGUGGCAAGUCCGCUGUGAAAGCCCGGAGCUUAACUCCGGAGGGUCGGUGGAUACUGCCACUCUUGAAGGGACUAGGGGGAGAUGGAAUUACCGGUGUAGCGGUGAAAUGCGUAGAUAUCAGGAGGAACACCUGCGGUGUAGACGGCUUUCUGGACCAUUGCUGACGCUGAGACACGAAAGCGUGGGUAGCAAACAGG
rnacentral:rRNA from 1 species